rnacentral:rRNA from 1 species
CGUUCUGAGCGGCGGACGGGUGAGUAAUGCAUAGGAAUCUGCCCGGUAGUGGGGGAUAACCUGGGGAAACUCAGGCUAAUACCGCAUACGCCCUACGGGGGAAAGCAGGGGCUCUUCGGACCUUGCGCUAUCGGAUGAGCCUAUGUCGGAUUAGCUAGUUGGUGAGGUAAUGGCUCACCAAGGCGACGAUCCGUAGCUGGUCUGAGAGGAUGAUCAGCCACAUCGGGACUGAGACACGGCCCGAACUCCUACGGGAGGCAGCAGUGGGGAAUAUUGGACAAUGGGCGAAAGCCUGAUCCAGCCAUGCCGCGUGUGUGAAGAAGGCUUUCGGGUUGUAAAGCACUUUCAGUGAGGAAGAACGCCUUGGGGCUAAUACCCCCGAGGGAAGACAUCACUCACAGAAGAAGCACCGGCUAACUCCGUGCCAGCAGCCGCGGUAAUACGGAGGGUGCAAGCGUUAAUCGGAAUUACUGGGCGUAAAGCGCGCGUAGGCGGCGUGAUAAGCCGGUUGUGAAAGCCCCGGGCUCAACCUGGGAACGGCAUCCGGAACUGUCAGGCUAGAGUGCAGGAGAGGAAGGUAGAAUUCCCGGUGUAGCGGUGAAAUGCG